AAAGUACUCCCUCCGUCUCAAAAUUCUUGUCUUAGCUCUGUCUAGAAAUGGAUAUAUAAUAAAUACUAAAACUUGACUAGAUACAUUCAUAUCUAAACAAAUCUGAUACAAGAAUUUUGGGACGGAGGGAGUAGAAA
rfam:Hordeum vulgare subsp. vulgare, WGS project CAJW01000000 data, contig: morex_contig_1571337